rnacentral:rRNA from 1 species
ACCCGGGGAACUGCGUCGGAUACUGGGUGGCUUGAAUCCGGGAGAGGGACGUGGAAUUCCAGGUGUAGCGGUGAAAUGCGUAGAGAUCUGGAGGAAUACCGGUGGCGAAGGCGGCCCCCUGGACAAAGACUGACGCUCAGGUGCGAAAGCGUGGGGAGCAAACAGGAUUAGAUACCCUGGUAGUCCACGCCGUAAACGAUGUCGACUUGGAGGUUGUGCCCUUGAGGCGUGGCUUCCGGAGCUAACGCGUUAAGUCGACCGCCUGGGGAGUACGGCCGCAAGGUUAAAACUCAAAGAAAUUGACGGGGGCCUGCACAAGCGGUGGAGUAUGUGGCUCAAUUCGAUGCAACGCGAAGAACCUUACCUGGCCUUGACAUGUACGUAGUAGAAGGGUGAAAGCCUGACGAGAUA